rnacentral:rRNA from 1 species
AGAGUUUGAUCCUGGCUCAGGAUGAACGCUAGCGGCAGGCUUAACACAUGCAAGUCGAGGGGCAGCGCGGGAUAGCAAUAUCCUGGCGGCGACCGGCGGAAGGGUGCGUAACGCGUGAGCGACAUGCCCGUUGCCCGGGGACAACCGGUGGAAACGCCGACUAAUCCCCGAUGGGAUACGAUGCUUCAUGGCAUUGUAUUGAAAGUUACGGCGGCGACGGAUUGGCUCGCGUCCGAUUAGCUUGUUGGCGGGGUAACGGCCCACCAAGGCUACGAUCGGUAGGGGUUCUGAGAGGAAGGCCCCCCACAAUGGGACUGAGACACGGCCCAUACUCCUACGGGAGGCAGCAGUGAGGAAUAUUGGUCAAUGGGCGGAAGCCUGAACCAGCCAUGCCGCGUGCGGGAAGGAGGCCCUAUGGGCUGUGAACCGCUUUUGCCUGGGGGCAAUAAGGGCGUCGCGCACGUCCGAUGAGAGUACCAGGCGAAUAAGCAUCGGCCAACUCCGUGCCAGCAGCCGCGGUAAUACGGGGGAUGCGAGCGUUGUCCGGAUUCAUUGGGUUUAAAGGGUGCGUGGGCUGUGCGUCAAGUCGGGGGUGAAAUUCCGGUGCUCAACACCGGGGCUGCCCUUGAUACUGUCGCGCUGGAGUGCGGAUGCCGCCGGAGGAAUGAGUGGUGUAGCGGUGAAAUGCUUAGAUAUCACUCAGAACACCGAUUGCGAAGGCAUCUGGCGAAUCCGUAACUGACGCUGAGGCACGAAAGCGUGGGGAUAGAACAGGAUUAGAUACCCUGGUAUUCCACGCCGUAAACGAUGAUGGCUAACCGCCGGCGACACACUGCCGGUGGCCAAGCGAAAGCGAUAAGCCAUCCACCUGGGGAGUACGUCGGCAACGAUGAAACUCAAAGGAAUUGACGGGGGCCCGCACAAGCGGAGGAACAUGUGGUUUAAUUCGAAGCAACGCGAAGAACCUUACCAAGUCUUGACAUCCUCUUGACCGGUCAGUAAUGUGACCUUUUCUUCGGAACAAGAGUGACAGGUGGUGCAUGGUUGUCGUCAGCUCGUGUCGUGAGAUGUUGGGUUAAGUCCCGCAACGAGCGCAACCCUUAUCCUUAGUAGCCAGCAGUCCGGCUGGGCACUCUAGGGAGACUGCCAGGGAUAACCUGGAGGAAGGUGGGGAUGACGUCAAAUCAUCAUGCCCCUUAUGACUUGGGCUACACACGUGCUACAAUGGCGUAAACAAAGUGAAGCAAGAGUGUGAGCUUAAGCAAAUCACAAAAAUAACGUCUCAGUUCGGAUUGUAGUCUGCAACUCGACUACAUGAAGCUGGAAUCGCUAGUAAUCGCGGAUCAGAAUGCUGCGGUGAAUACGUUCCAGGGUCUUGUACACACCGCCCGUCACACCAUGGGAGUCGGAAAUGCCCGAAGUCGGUGACCUAACGUAAGAAGGAGCCGCCGAAGGCAGGUCUGAUAACUGGGGUGAAGUCGUAACAAGGUA